rnacentral:rRNA from 1 species
UGGGGAAUAUUGCACAAUGGGCGAAAGCCUGAUGCAGCAACGCCGCGUGAGUGAUGAAGGCCUUCGGGUUGUAAAGCUCUGUCUUUUGGGACGAUAAUGACGGUACCAAAGGAGGAAGCCACGGCUAACUACGUGCCAGCAGCCGCGGUAAUACGUAGGUGGCAAGCGUUGUCCGGAUUUACUGGGCGUAAAGGAUGCGUAGGCGGAUUUUUAAGUGAGAUGUGAAAACCCUAAGCUUAACUUGGGGACUGCAUUUCAUACUGGAAAUCUAGAGUGCGGGAGAGGAGAAUGGAAUUCCUAGUGUAGCGGUGAAAUGCGUAGAGAUUAGGAAGAACACCAGUGGCGAAGGCGAUUCUCUGGACCGUAACUGACGCUGAGGCAUGAAAGCGUGGGUAGCAAACAGGAUUAGAUACCCUGGUAGUCCACGCCGUAAACGAUGAGUACUAGGUGUAGGAGGUAUCGACCCCUUCUGUGCCGCAGUUAACACAAUAAGUACUCCGCCUGGGAAGUACGAUCGCAAGAUUAAAAA